CUGAGGUGGAUCUAAACUCCUCCUCUCCUCAGGUGUGUCGGCCGGUGAACCGGUGCAGGUCCCUGUCGUCAUCUGUGUCUCCAACGCUGCUGCCGUCGUCCUGACGCUGGUAACAUGUGGAUCAGUCCGUCACUGCUCAGAGAGGCUCAGAAGAAGGAAGGCGAUGCUGAACGCAAACCACGAAGUGGAAGUUUUAUCACCUUAACCCGUAGAUUUUAUUCACACGUUACACAGUGAGAAACAAGGUGACGGCAACGGUUUAUAGCAGUUAUCAGUUAGUUUCAGGGUUCGUCAUGAAUUUUAUCCAAACAUCUAGGUUCCAGAUGAUCUGAGUUACUGAGUCGUAGCUUUUAUCAACGUCCUAAUGUUACCGCACCAAAAAAACAGCGACUGUAACAGUAUUAGAGCAAUUGUCGCCCUCUGCUGGUCAUAAUUAAGAACUACAUCUUGAAGAACGUCUGCAUGUGAUAAAUGUUUUCACUCCUCAGGCGUUGAUACUCUGUCUUUAUUUAUGCUGUACCAUCUGUUGCUGUUUAGAUUCAUUUAUAUGCUGUCAUUGAACUGUUUUUUUGUGUUUGUUUAGCACUGGAUCCUUUACAGCAGCUGUUGAGUAAUAUUACUACAAAUGAAACCGUCGCUGCACAGCAGAAACAGUGAUCAGAGAGAACUGUGCUUUAACUUUGUUGAGUCACUGAGUCAAACUAUGAACUCGCUGCUGAAUUACAACAAACUCACUAUAAAGCUUUAAUUCAUUCUGCAUUUUACUCGUCAUGAGCAACAAUACAAAUCAGUGUAACAAGUUAUAAUGAUUGUAAAUCAGGGGAUUUACCCUUUUAUAAACUUUGUUUUACAUGAAUAAAUCUUUACUUUUUG